rnacentral:rRNA from 1 species
AGAGCGAACGCUGGCGGCAGGCUUAACACAUGCAAGUCGAGCGCCCCGCAAGGGGAGCGGCAGACGGGAGAGUAACACGUGGGAACGUACCUUUCGGCUCGGAACAACCCAGGGAAACUUGGGCUAAUACCGGAUACGUCCGUAAGGAGAAAGAUUUAUCGCCGAAAGAUCGGCCCGCGUCUGAUUAGCUAGUUGGUGAGGUAACGGCUCACCAAGGCGACGAUCAGUAGCUGGUCUGAGAGGAUGAUCAGCCUCACUGGGACUGAGACACGGCCCAGACUCCUACGGGAGGCAGCAGUGGGGAAUAUUGGACAAUGGGCGCAAGCCUGAUCCAGCAAUGCCGCGUGAGUGAUGAAGGCCCUAGGGUUGUAAAGCUCUUUUGUGCGGGAAGAUAAUGACGGUACCGCAAGAAUAAGCCCGGCUAACUUCGCGCCAGCAGCCGC